rnacentral:rRNA from 1 species
GAUGAACGCUGGCGGCGUGCUUAACACAUGCAAGUCGAACGAAGCAUUUAAGACAGAUUCCUUCGGUUUGAAGUCUUUUAUGACUGAGUGGCGGACGGGUGAGUAACGCGUGGGUAACCUGCCUCAUACAGGGGGAUAGCAGCUGGAAACGGCUGGUAAUACCGCAUAAGCGCACAGUACCACAUGGUACAGUGUGAAAAACUCCGGUGGUAUGAGAUGGACCCGCGUCUGAUUAGCUAGUUGGCGGGGUAACGGCCCACCAAGGCGACGAUCAGUAGCCGACCUGAGAGGGUGACCGGCCACAUUGGGACUGAGACACGGCCCAGACUCCUACGGGAGGCAGCAGUGGGGAAUAUUGCACAAUGGAGGAAACUCUGAUGCAGCGACGCCGCGUGAGUGAAGAAGUAGUUCGCUAUGUAAAGCUCUAUCAGCAGGGAAGAUAGUGACGGUACCUGACUAAGAAGCUCCGGCUAAAUACGUG